rnacentral:rRNA from 1 species
CCACCACUAAGCCAGUGGUGAACUCCACAUCCGCAUCCUUUGCUGAGGAUACGGUUAACGGAGCGAAAGCGACGUUCAACCGCAAAACAAGCAGAGGGGGCUUAGUGGUGGGGUGACUGCGUACCUUUUGUAUAAUGGGUCAGCGACUUAUAUUCUGUAGCAAGGUUAACCGAAUAGGGGAGCCGGAGGGAAACCGAGUCUUAAUUGGGCGUUAAGUUGCAGGGUAUAGACCCGAAACCCGGUGAUCUAGCCAUGGGCAGGUUGAAGGUUGGGUAACACUAACUGGAGGACCGAACCGACUAAUGUUGAAAAAUUAGCGGAUGACCUGUGGCUGGGGGUGAAAGGCCAAUCAAACCGGGAGAUAGCUGGUUCUCCCCGAAAGCUAUUUAGGUAGCGCCUCGUGAAUUCAUCUCCGGGGGUAGAGCACUGUUUCGGCUAGGGGGCCAUCCCGGCUUACCAACCCGAUGCAAACUGCGAAUACCGGAGAAUGUUAUCACGGGAGACACACGGCGGGUGCUAACGUCCGUCGUGAAGAGGGAAACAACCCAGACCGCCAGCUAAGGUCCCAAAGUCAUGGUUAAGUGGGAAACGAUGUGGGAAGGCCCAGACAGCCAGGAUGUUGGCUUAGAAGCAGCCAUCAUUUAAAGAAAGCGUAAUAGCUCACUGGUCGAGUCGGCCUGCGCGGAAGAUGUAACGGGGCUAAACCAUGCACCGAAGCUGCGGCAGCGAACGUAUCACCCAAGACAACUUUACGGAGUUGACGAUUGACGGAGCGAAGCGACGUCAAAGCGUUCAUUAAAGUCGAGUUGGCUUAGGGAUACGUUCGUUGGG